CCAAUAGCGUAUAUUAAAGUUGUUGCAGUUAAAAAGCUCGUAGUUGAAUUUCGGGAUUGGCGCAUCGGUCGUGCCUUAAGGGGUAUGAACUGGUGUAGUGGAUUUCUCACCUUCUGGAGAACCGUGAUGUCCUUUAUUGGGUGCCACGAGGAACCAGGACCUUUACUUUGAAAAAAUUAGAGUGUUUAAAGCAGGCAUUUUUGCUUGAAUACAUUAGCAUGGAAUAAUAAAAUAGGACGGCAUGGUUCUAUUUUGUUGGUUUCUAGGAUCACCGUAAUGAUUAAUAGGGAUAGUUGGGGGCAUUAGUAUUCAAUUGUCAGAGGUGAAAUUCUUGGAUUUAUUGAAGACUAACUACUGCGAAAGCAUUUGCCAAGGAUGUUUUCAUUAAUCAAGAACGAAAGUUAGGGGAUCGAAGACGAUCAGAUACCGUCGUAGUCUUAACCAUAAACUAUGCCGACUAGGAAUCAGACGAUGUUAAUUUUUUAAUGACUCGUUUGGCACCUUACG
rnacentral:rRNA from 1 species